UGUCUGUAUCUUUAUAGUUAAUCCAAAAACAAGAAGCACGGUAGAUUUCUCUCAUCAUGACUGCUGAUAGUGGAUUAAGAACCUGGGCUUACAAAUUAUUUGUUUGUUAAGCAUAAAAGAUAAGUGAGUUUUCAGGUGGAAGACAAUAGUGGAACAGAAGCAGGGGAAUAAAAUCAUUACAAAUCUGCAAGGCAGUAUAGGACUGAAAAAA
rnacentral:misc_RNA from 1 species